CCAUUUGCUGGUCCAAUUCACAAUAAGAAAUGGAGUCGGAGAAAUGCGUGAAGAUCAACAGCUUGCUCGAUGCUGCUUCCUCAUCUCCACACAAAAUAAAUAAUUUGAAAACUCUUUGUCCAUCGAUAAAAUGGACUAAAGAAAAAAUGAAUAAAGAGAUAAACCAGCUGAACAACUGAUUUUCAUCCCACUAAAAGAAGAAGAUCCUGAAA
rnacentral:lncRNA from 1 species